rfam:Ovis aries breed Texel chromosome 17, whole genome shotgun sequence.
UUCCUAGUGGUCCCGUGGUUAGGACUCUGCACUUUCACUGCAGGCGGUGCAGGUUCGAUCCCUGGUUUGGGAA